rnacentral:rRNA from 1 species
UACGUAGGUGGCAAGCGUUGUCCGGAUUUAUUGGGUUUAAAGGGUGCGUAGGCGGCCUUGUAAGUCAGUGGUGAAAUAUCUCAGCUUAACUGAGAGGGUGCCAAUGAUACUGCAGGGCUUGAGUACAGAUGAGGUAGGCGGAAUUGACGGUGUAGCGGUGAAAUGCUUAGAUAUCGUCAAGAACACCUAUUGCGAAGGCAGCUUACUAAGCUUUAACUGACGCUGAGGCACGAAAGUGUGGGGAUCAAACAGG